rnacentral:rRNA from 1 species
UACUCCUUCGGGGGGGCAGCAGUAGGGAAUCUUCGGCAAUGGGCGAAAGCCUGACCGAGCAACGCCGCGUGAGCGAUGAAGGCCUUCGGGUCGUAAAGCUCUGUUGUUAGAGAAGAACAAGUACGAGAGUAACUGCUCGUACCUUGACGGUACCUAACCAGAAAGCCACGGCUAACUACGUGCCAGCAGCCGCGGUAAUACGUAGGUGGCAAGCGUUAUCCGGAAUUAUUGGGCGUAAAGCGCGCGCAGGCGGUCUCUUAAGUCUGAUGUGAAAGCCCACGGCUCAACCGUGGAGGGUCAUUGGAAACUGGGAGACUUGAGUGCAGGAGAGAAAAGUGGAAUUCCACGUGUAGCGGUGAAAUGCGUAGAGAUGUGGAGGAACACCAGUGGCGAAGGCGGCUUUUGGCCUGUA